AGCUGUUUUUGUUCCAUACAAAUCUUAGUAUACGCGCUCUCAUGUAAACAGAAGUAUUCAUACAGCUACAUGCAAUCUUCUUCCUGCGAAAGAAGAAUGAAGAUGAGGUUUCAGUGAAAAGAGGUGUUUGUUAGUAGUUAAGACAACCAUAAAUAUGUGCCAAUGUCAUAAUUUUCAAGUUAUAUAAAUGCAAAUAUUUAUCUAUUAUCCAAAGUUGGAGUAGAAUUCAGUAAUAAAGAUUAACGUGGAACUUUAGAAAGUAUUUACAAUUGAAGCAGCGUACUCAGAAGACGGAAACAUGAUGUGAACAAAAAUUAAACUAUCUGGAAAGGAUCGAUGCCAAAAUUCAAGAUUACAAGCAUUAUUACAAGGAGUUGAACUAUUAAGAGCAAAUAAAACGAUAUUUUAAUUUAUUAGCACAAUCAUGGCUGUAUCCAAAAAGGAACCAAAAUUCAAACCACCUAAAAAACGCAAGGAUGCAAUUGGCGGAUUUAAUGCAAUGGGAUAUCCAUGCCCUGUUGUGGGCUCUUGUUGUUAUUUACCCGUAAAAAUAGGUACAUAUAUAAUAGCAUUAUUAGGAAUAUUGCCUACGGUGGCAUGUAUAGUUUUGGCUACGCCAGCUGGGAUUGAUAUUUUACAUGAGAAUGGAUUACCUCAGUGGUAUGUUCCAGGAAUUAAGUGGGCUUAUAGUCUUUUAGGUAUUUUAGUUUUUACUUCCCACAUAAUAAUAGCCGUGGCUGUAAAAUUGGGAUCCCGAAAGUGUAUCAUUUUGUAUUUAUGGGCUUUGCUUGUGUAUAUGGCAGGUAGCUUCGGAAUCGCUGUGGUGAUUUCUGCAAAAAUAAUGAUGGCUGGUAAUACGUCGUUUGGGAUUGUAUUUCUCUUGUUAGCUUCUAUGUAUACAUUAAUGUUAUUGUAUUUUUGGAUUGUGGUGAACAGUCUAUUGUAUCUUGAAGAGGAGAAAUCAAGAGUAAUCAAUAUUCAUAUAACAAUAUUAUGAACUUUAAAUGAAUCGCAAAUGCCUAUGAAGAGUAUUUCAAGUGUGGGUAUUUAAUUUUACUAAAUGUUUUAUGUUGCGGUAAUUUUACUAGAAAAUGUGUUUAUGCUACAUCACAGCUUAAUAAAAUAAAAGAAAGAUUUGUAAAUA